rnacentral:rRNA from 1 species
UACUAGCACCCCGAGUGGUCGGGACGUUUAUUGGGCCUAAAGCAUCCGUAGCCGGUUCUACAAGUCUUCCGUUAAAUCCAGCCGCUCAACGGUUGGGCUGCGGAGGAUACUACGUGGCUAGGAGGCGGGAGAGGCAAGCGGUACUCAGUGGGUAGGGGUAAAAUCCUUUGAUCCAUUGAAGACCACCAGUGGCGAAGGCGGCUUGCCAGAACGCGCUCGACGGUGAGGGAUGAAAGCUGGGGGAGCAAACCGG